AUUGAAGGCCAGUGAUUGUGGGGGAACUGCCAGAGCUGAACCAGUGACUCUGUGGUUAUGGAGCAUGGCCACCACCUGUGCCACGACCUCUUGGCAGUUGAAGCCUGCAGCAGUAGGCCUACACUAAGAAAGAAGGGCCACUUGAUCCUGUACAUCUGACCCCAGGACCAACCUGCUAUGACCAAUGAGGACUUAAACAGUCAUUUUAUACCACUGUAGAAAUACUGACUCAUUUUCAUAUCAUCUUUAUCAUAUGUAUAAGGACAUGAUAUGUUUUACAUCAGUCGACAUGACAUGGACCUCAGUUGUCCAAAACACUCAAAAUAAAAGACACACAGACACAAUGCAGCUUUCAAGAUUGCUUUAAGAUAUAGAUAUAUUUUCAGAUCUGAGUUCAUGUCAAAAAUACACAUUAUGAUUUACAUAGUUUUGCACUA